rnacentral:rRNA from 1 species
UACGUAGGGUGCAAGCGUUAAUCGGAAUUACUGGGCGUAAAGCGUGCGCAGGCGGUUUUGUAAGUCUGAUGUGAAAUCCCCGGGCUCAACCUGGGAAUUGCAUUGGAGACUGCAAGGCUAGAAUCUGGCAGAGGGGGGUAGAAUUCCACGUGUAGCAGUGAAAUGCGUAGAUAUGUGGAGGAACACCGAUGGCGAAGGCAGCCCCCUGGGUCAAAACUGACGCUCAUGCACGAAAGCGUGGGGAGCAAACGAGGAUUACGAA